rnacentral:lncRNA from 1 species
UCACCCCUGAGGAGUUUCACUUUUAACCAGCCAGAAGGGAGACUGUGUUAACUACCUAGGGCAUGUAGCUGAGGCGUUAUGAAGGCCAUAAUAUUGUACUGAGACUAAACCUUAGGCUACUUUAGGAUCCCUAAGUAGAGUUUAAGAAAGAGCCUAAAAGAAUGAAUUUGAUCAUCUGAUAACUUAACUACCAGCCUAAAUCCAAUUGUUUAAAGAAAGGUGUCAAAAUCUAAAUGCUCAAUAAAGUCACAUUUUACAAGGUCAAGGAUAGAAUCUGAAAUAAACAAACGUUAAGCUGAGACAUAAAACCCAGUGCCUUACCCUCAGAGGGGAAAGGAGGAUGGAAACAAAGACUGAAAUCCUGAAUCCCGGAUUUAUUUUUGUCCCUUAUCCAAUCCUCCUUUUAAUUAGCAAUUGAUUUUUAGCUCUGUCAGCCUGUCUCGAUAUGAAGUUACUCUGUUUAUUCCCAGAUGACGUUCUUGACAUCUAAUUAACUAAACAUUUACCAAAGCUUCUCGGAUGCCUGCUGACAGCUACUGCCUUGAGAGAGCCAAGAAUCCGGGCCUGCCUGGAUUAGAUGAGGUAUAGCUCACCAUGACACACGGGAAUAAACCAUCGCAGAUGGAUUUGCAGAGAGGUCAUUUGCCAAUUUCCUCUUUGGCCCCUGUAGGUUUGGUCUGUGUGUCCCCAUUUACCUACUGUGACCACAAAGCAAAGAAAGCCACAGAGUAAACACUGACUAACUACCACACAGGUGGGGACACAGUGGACUUCAUUUGAACGGUGCUCUGCUUUUCUCUGCGAUCCAUGGGGGAUUGUGACAAACUGUUUCCUUUUCUUUAGUGAGCAUAUUAAAAAGGCAUCCCAGCAUUCAUUUUAUUUACUCAUAGUAAACAGCCCAUCAGAGCCUGCAGAAGGCAGUAGUCAGCUGGCUGGAAAAUGGGCCCCUUUGUGACCAGGAGGGUGGACAAUGUGAGUCUCCAUCACAACUAGUAGCCUGGGGACAUAUGCUGUGUUGUUUUAUUUUUAAAAGUCCAAUUCAAAUGUGAGUUUUUAUUUUAAAUAUGCAAAUCCUUGCUUCCAAAGUGAAUGUCUCUCUCCCUCCUACACACACACACACACACGCACACACACACACACACACACACACCACAAACAAGUACAUAUAACAUACACAUAUACAACCCUUUCCAUGAACACAAAACCCUUACACACACAUGCAAGUGUACAUACAAAACAUAACACACACACACACACACACACACACACACACACACACGCUCCAUCCCCCAACGUUGCUCAUUACGUGUAGCACUGUACACCAAAGUGACAAGGAGUCUGGGUCAUUCUUUGACUCUCCUGGCACCAGGUUGCAGGAUGAUUCAAGAGUUACAGAUGCUAUUAUGCUGUGCAUCCAGUGUUUAGUUGUCCCCUUCAGACCUCUUAUGUAUGUCCCUGUAUGCGUGGCAGUGCUCUGAUCUACAAUGACCCUGCACUAUCUGAGACCCUGUAACUGUUCUACCAUUCCAGAAUGUUAGCCAGAGCCAGAAGCACAGGGCUGCCCGCAGGUACUAAUUAGAAGGGAGCUGAGGUUGUUGCUAGAUGGAUGAGAGGGAGCCAGUGAUUUAGCUCUGCCCACUCCCCAUCCCUGUGGGGUUUCUGGAGAGAAGCAAUGGCCUCCUCAUGAGUGCAAAACCUUCUCCGGGCACAUGUUCUGUUGUAGCUGCCACUGUUUUAGUCUCCUCUGGACUCUGCUGCAAGCCGAGAAGCAGCAUUUGUUUCCAGGUGGCUUAAGCUUCGUCAGGCAUGCCACCAAGGCUUUUGUUCUGUCUCCUGGAGUCAGUGUGAUGCACAGAAUCCAGUUCUCUAGCAGUCUUAACAUUUCCCCAGAUGUCUGGCUUCCUCUGUCAAACAUGCCACCUGUGUGUUUGGUCUCUAACAGCGUAGCUCCAGAUGGGAACUCCCCACCUCACCGGGAAGCCCGUUUCUCUAUGAAGAAAGCUUAAAAAUGAACAGAGUCUCUUUUCACUACUUUUUUGUUCUUUUUUCCUUUCACUGUGUAAGAAACAAGUCAGCUGGGGCUUCUACACAGCGGCCUUUGAUAUGCCACUCCCUGGUGUAGCCUGGGGAAGCAUCGUCCAAGCCUGGCCUUGUACCACUCGACUGUGAUGUUGACACAGACUUCCACUCAUGUAGCUUUCUGUACCUGUUUUUGCCUUUUCCUUCUUUUCUCCCUUGUUCCCUCUCCUCCCUCUCCCUCCCUCCAGCCCUUUCUCCUUUCUUUUUUCACUCUCUCAUUCCUCUGUUUCCCUCUCCUUUCAGCCUUUCCUUCCUUCCUUCCUUCCUUCCUUCCUUCCUUCCUUCCUUUCUUUUACUCAAAACAUACAAGUUGGAAAUAUUGCUCAAGAACACUAGCGUGUGCCCUGAUGAAUCCCUUAGGUGUCUGCUCCUACCAAUGGUUUAUUUUUGCUCCAUAAAAUAGAACCAUGAGUCCUCCUCAUUGCAGAGCCGGGUGAUGAGUGAUGUGGUGUCAUUUUUGCCCUCAGAUGUCAGAACCUACUGCAGCCACCCUCAGCUUCCCAUUUCACAGUACAGCUCUUUCUUCUGUGAACAGAAUGGAGCAGAGACUCAACACAGCUACUUGACUGCACAUGGCUGACAAACAUAUGGAUUUAAAGUAUUUGAUAAAGUAACUGAUAGAAGGAAAAGCUCUCCAUUGUCACAACACUUUCUGAUCAUUGACCCAGAUCCCCACAUUGUCUAAUGCCCGGAUGUCACCUCCGAAGGCACAUGAAGCCCAGAGGUUUCAGCCUGAUCAGUUGGGUUACUUCUCUUUUUGUUACCAGAUGUUGGGAUCCACACAUCUUGCUGUCUGCCAACGGGUGGAUAUGUCACUCUAGCAGGAAGUGUUCUCGUCUGCUUUCUGUUUCUGUGAUAAACACUAUGACCAAAAGCAACUUGGGGAGGAAAGGGCUUGCUUCCGUGUAUUUGCUGUGUGUCCAUCAUUGGAGCAGAGGCACAAGCUUGAAGUAUAAAUCAUGGAGAAAUGCCGCUUUCUGGCUUGUUUCCUGGUCCACUCAGCUGCCUUUCUUAUAGCCCAGGCCCAACUGGCUAGGGAUGGUUCCACCAACAUCAACUAGCAAUUAAUAAAAUGCCCCACAGACAUGCCCACAGGACUGUCUGAUCUGGGCAAUUCUGCGCCUGAGGCUGCCUCUUCCCAGGUGACUCUAGUCUCUGUCUAGUGGACAAAGGUUACCCAGCACAGGAGACUGCUGCUACAGAUCUUCAUGAGAAACCCUAUACAAAAAUAAUUUACAACUGG